UAAACCCCAAGAAAAUAAAUAAAUAACAGUAAUAUUAGCUGGAUGAGAGAAGCGCCACGGUACCGUACGGAAUAAAGUGGAUACUCCCUGUCGUGCUGCUCGAUCAUGAGGUUUGCAGGAAAUUGGGUAUGAUAACCAAAAGUUCUGGGUAAGUGCUGAUUGCAUUAUUUCAAGUUUGCCGAAGCUAUCAUGUAACUAUAGGAAGUGGGAAUUUGCAUACCUUUUACUAUUUAUUUAAGUUUGGUUAUUUGUUUUACAUUUUAUAGCUUAUUGGCCUGAACUUUAUGUAGACAUGGGAAACAGCGACGUGUUUCUGUUUACAAGGCUUAAAAAAAUGUGGAGAAAGGGAAGGAGAGGGAUAAUUGAACUUCAUUGAUGUUUUAAGAAGAAUCUAAAGUUGUUUUGCAAGAUUUAUUUACCCUACCCACCCGAUGAUGGAGAGUCUGUAGAGAAUUUAGUUGCAAAACAUGGUGAGAAGAAUGUUAAUAAAAAGCAAGGAAAAAGAGAUGGUAUUUUCUGUAAGCCUUCGAUGAACAAAGAAAAAUUUGCAAAGAUGGUGGAAUCACUUGCUUCUAUAGUAGAGAAGGAUUGAAACUUGAGACAGGUUGUCCUCAUUUGUGGUGAAAUUGGGUGUGGGUAGACAACACAGGUCCCACAAUAGCUGUUAGACCAUACAUGGGGAAAGAGUGAUGCAUGUAAAAUACUGUGCUCAACCUCGACGUAUCUUGGCAACAUCAGGUAACGCAUUCUCGAGAAGCACUUCCUGCAGUUCUUGAGGCAUCUAUGCGUGCAACAGUCUGCAUUCUGUCUUAUGAUGGACUCUCAGGAAUCUGAUUUGCGUCAGAACCUGUGGACUCGGUAACAAGGAUGAUACAAGCCAAUGCCAGAGAGAAGCAGAGACACAGGUCAUAGUCCAAACAACUUCCUUAGGUCACUUUUGAACCACGACACCGACCAGAAGGGUACGUUUCAAAGGAACAAGAAAAGGAAAUAAAUCAUCAAGCAGCUAUGAUGGUAGGCCACCAUUACAAGGCCGGUCGAUGGUAGGGGUCCGAGGAGAGAUUCUUUCAAGAGGCAACGUGGGAGCGGUCUAAACUGCAUUCGUAAUUGAAUCUCAUCUGACUGUAUGUUGUAGAUCAUCAGAAGUACACCCCAUGAUGUGUUGCUUCUGUGAAUAUUAUAUUGUCUCGAAAGAAACAAGGUUUUUUUCUGUUUUUAUUUUAUUACCAAAUAUAUUUUAACCAUAUUUAGCAUUUAUAUCAA